rnacentral:rRNA from 1 species
CCCUUAGAUGUUCUGGGCCGCACGCGCGCUACACUGAUGCAUUCAACGAGCCUAUCCUUGACCGACAGGUCCGGGUAAUCUUUGAAUCUGCAUCGUGACGGGGAUAGAUUAUUGCAAUUAUUAAUCUUCAACGAGGAAUGCCUAGUAGGCGCAAGUCAUCAGCUUGCGUCGAUUACGUCCCUGCCCUUUGUACACACCGCCCGUCGCUCCUACCGAUUGAAUGGUUUAGUGAGAUCUCCGGAUUGACGCUGGCUAGGGGGCGACCCUUGGCCAGGCUGUCGAGAAACUGCUCAAACUUGAUCAUUUAGAGGAAGUAAAAGUCGUAACA